AAAGAUUAAGCCAUGCAUGUCUAAGUAUAAGCAAUUAUACGGCGAAACUGCGAAUGGCUCAUUAUAUAAGUUAUCGUUUAUUUGAUAGCACAUUACUACUUGGAUAACCGUGGUAAUUCUAGAGCUAAUACAUGCUAAAAAUCCCGACUUCGGAAGGGAUGUAUUUAUUAGAUUAAAAGCCAAUGCCCUCUGGGCUCUCUGGUGAAUCAUGAUAACUGCUCGAAUCGCAGGGCCUCGUGCCGGCGAUGGUUCAUUCAAAUUUCUUCCCUAUCAACUUUCGAUGUUUGGGUAUUGGCCAAACAUGGUUACAACGGGUAACGGAGGGUUAGGGCUCGACCCCGGAGAAGGAGCCUGAGAAACGGCUACUACAUCCAAGGAAGGCAGCAGGCGCGCAAAUUACCCAAUCCCGACACGGGGAGGUAGUGACAAUAAAUACUGAUACAGGGCUCUUUCGGGUCUUGUAAUUGGAAUGAGUACAAUUUAAAUCCCUUAACGAGGAACAAUUGGAGGGCAAGUCUGGUGAACGUUGCUGGUGCCAGAGAGAGCUACCCCUCUGUGGGCGAUGGAAGAUAGCUAGUCGAGCGCUCGAUCAGUGACGGGUGAGCGCCGGCGAGACGACCUGGAUCGGGGAAGGCUAAGGGCCCCAAGCUGGCCUACGCUGAUCCCGAGCAGAGCCCCGCGGCCAGUGUGCCGGGAGGGCCUGUGUAGAGCGCGCCAAGGUGUCGGUCCAGAGGGGGGCGGGGGCGANNNNNNNNNUCCCCCCCCCCAGGGCUUAAGGUACGUGCCAAUCCCCUGCGAAAGCAGGGCCCUGCGGAGUAGCACCCGUCGUGCGAAGCCGCGGGGGAGGACGCCCUGAGCGAUGGUGCCUGGGUGGCCUGUGACAACAUAGUGGCCAGCAGCCGCGGUAAUUCCAGCUCCAAUAGCGUAUAUUAAAGUUGUUGUGGUUAAAAAGCUCGUAGUUGACCCUUGGGCCUGGCUGGCCGGUCCGCCUCACCGCGUGUACUGGUCCGGCCGGGCCUUUCCCUCUGUGGAACCCCAUGCCCUUCACUGGGCGUGGCGGGGAAACAGGACUUUUACUUUGAAAAAAUUAGAGUGCUCCAGGCAGGCCUAUGCUCGAAUACAUUAGCAUGGAAUAAUAGAAUAGGACGUGCGGUUCUAUUUUGUUGGUUUCUAGGACCGCCGUAAUGAUUAAUAGGGACAGUCGGGGGCAUCAGUAUUCAAUUGUCAGAGGUGAAAUUCUUGGAUCUAUUGAAGACUAACUACUGCGAAAGCAUUUGCCAAGGAUGUUUUCAUUAAUCAAGAACGAAAGUUAGGGGAUCGAAGACGAUCAGAUACCGUCGUAGUCCUGACCGUAAACUAUGCCGACUAGGGAUCGGACGAUGUUAUUUUUUGACUCGUUCGGCACCUUACGAGAAAUCAAAGUGCUUGGGCUCCAGGGGGAGUAUGGUCGCAAGGCUGAAACUUAAAGAAAUUGACGGAAGGGCACCACCAGGGGUGGAACCUGCGGCUUAAUUUGACUCAACACGGGGAAACUCACCAGGUCGACUUCGUCUGGGCCUGGAAAAGUCGGGCGCCGGCCACAACGGCAGGCGCUGCGGCUAGUAUCGAACUUCACUCCGCGUGGGGAAGCCCCCUCGUCGGGCGCGGAGACGGCAGCCGUCGAGGUUCGCCGUUGUUCGAUGCGACACCAGCUGGUACAGGGGACGCCGAACCGCUCAGCAGGCCGCUGAGCGGUAGGGCCAAUCCUGUGGCGAGCUCGGGUUGCGCCGAGCCGCUGCAACGCGCGCUAAGCGGUGGGCUAGGGGAAGCGUUUAGGCUCCUCUGGCUUAAGGUACGUGCUAAUCCCGCAGGGAACUGCGGCCCCUCCGAACAGGUCCGACUUCACCGAAGCGGAAGGGGCGGCGCGUCGAGCGAAAGCCCGGCGCGCCGUGCUGUGAUGAUGCCAGACACAAUGAGGAUUGACAGAUUGAGAGCUCUUUCUUGAUUUUGUGGGUGGUGGUGCAUGGCCGUUCUUAGUUGGUGGAGUGAUUUGUCUGCUUAAUUGCGAUAACGAACGAGACCUUAACCUGCUAAAUAGCCCGUAUUGCUUUGGCAGUACGCCGGCUUCUUAGAGGGACUAUCGGCUCAAGCCGAUGGAAGUUUGAGGCAAUAACAGGUUGAAGGAGAUUGAAAUAUCACAGGCCUGUCAUAGUGGGACGCCUCGUUAAACAUUGACCGCUAGUCCAGCGACUUUACCUCCGUUGGGGAAGCUCCCCUACUGUCGGGCGGAAUUAGGAGGCCCUCCUGUCGAAGGCAAGAGGGCCUUGUCGCGGGCGACACCACCUGGUACAGGGGACGCCGAACCGCUCAGCAGGCCGCUGAGCGGCAGGCCGAUCCUGUGGCGAGCUCGGGUUGCGCCGAGCCGUCGCAACGCGCGCAAAGGGGUGGGCUGCGUCUCCUACACGAGGAGCCAGCUUAAGGUACGUGCUAAUCCCAUGGGGAACCAUGCCGCUGCAGUGAGGCCCGACAGGCCGAGCUGCAGAGGAGGCGGUCGGUGGAAGGAAAAAGUACACCGGUCGGCCUGGCGCCCGCGAGGGCAAGAUGCUGUGAUGCCCUUAGAUGUCCUGGGCCGCACGCGCGUUACACUGACGGAGCCAGCGAGUACUCCCUUGGCCGGAAGGCCCGGGUAAUCUUGUUAAACUCCGUCGUGCUGGGGAUAGAGCAUUGCAAUUAUUGC
rnacentral:rRNA from 1 species